rfam:Picea glauca, whole genome shotgun sequence.
CACUUACAACAUAGCGUUAAUGCACUAGAUCCCAUUAGAAAUCCGCAGUUAAGCAUGCUCAUGCUAGCGUAAUAUUGGGAUGGGUGACCACCUGGGAAGUCUUAGUAUUUUACAUGC